rnacentral:rRNA from 1 species
AUUGAACGCUGGCGGCAGGCCUAACACAUGCAAGUCGAGCGAGCGGCGGACGGGUGAGUAAUGUAUGGGGACUGCCCGAUAGAGGGGGAUAACUACUGGAAACGGUAGCUAAUACCGCAUACUAUCGGAUAACCCAUAGGGGAUUAGCGAGUAGGUGAGGUAAUGGCUCGCCUAGGCGACGAUCACUAGCUGGUCUGAGAGGAUGCUCAGCCGCACUGGUACGGAGACACGGCCCAGACUCCUACGGAGGCAGCAGUGGGGAAUAUUGGACAAUGGGCUCAAGCCUGAUGAAACCAUGGCGCGUGUAUGAAGAAGGCCCUAGGGUUGUAAAGUACUUUCAGUCGGGAGGCGUUACCGACAGAAGAAGCACCGGCUAACUCCGUGCCAGCAGCCGCGGUAAUAC